rnacentral:rRNA from 1 species
CUCCCGUUGAUCCUGCCGGACCUGACUGCUAUCGGAUUGGUACUAAGCCAUGUGAGUCAUUGUAGCAAUACAAGGCAUACGGCUCAGUAACACGUAGUCAAUCUAACCUAUGGACGUGGAUAACCUCGGGAAACUGAGAAUAAUCCGCGAUAGAUCAUAAUUCCUGGAACGGUUUAUGGUCCAAAUGAUUCGUCGCCAUAGGAUGGGACUGCGGCCUAUCAGCUUGUUGGUGAGGUAAUGGCUCACCAAGGCUAUUACAGGUACGGGCUCUGAGAGGAGAAGCCCGGAGAUGGGUACUGAGACACGGACCCAGGCCCUAUGGGGCGCGGCAGGCGAGAAACCUUUGCAAUGUGCGCAAGCACGACAAGGUUAAUCCGAGUGUUUCCUGCUAAAGGAAUCUUUUGUUAGUUCUAAAACCACUGAUGAAUAAGAGGUGGGCAAGUUCUGGUGCCAGCAGCCGCGGUAAU